CGCCACGCUUUAGAACGGGCGAAACCGCGAAUGGCUCAGGAACCGGACCUAAUCCUCGGGACCGUAAUCCUCCUCUUUGGAGGCGAUGGAUAACUGUGGCAAUUCUAGAGCUAAUACAUGUGACACAAGCCGCGAUCGGUCGGCGUGCAGCCGUCGCCUUCGCCUUUACUGUGCGUGGGCACCCGCGUCGAUCGUUCCGGGUCGCGGCGCUACAUAUUAGACUGAGACCGAUGCGCGUUCUUCCGUCCUCCCGUCCGUUUAGCUCCUCGCUUCGGCGGGGCUGCGGCGGCGGGGCUACUAUGGGCGGCGCGCUCCGCUUUGGUGACUCUGGAUAACUCACUGGUCGAUCGCACCGGCUUUCAUGCCUGGCGACGGGUCUCUCGAGGGUCCGCCCUAUCAACUGUCGACGGUCGGUUAAGUGCCUACCGUGGUUACUACGGGUAACGGGGAAUCGGGGUUCGAUUCCGGAGAGGGAGCAUGCGAAACGGCUACCACAUCCAAGGAAGGCAGCAGGCGCGCAAAUUACCCACUCCCGGCACGGGGAGGUAGUGACGAAAAAUAACGACGCGGGACUCUGUCGAGGCCCCGCGAUCGGAAUGAGUACACUUCAAAUCCGUUAACGAGGACCAACCGGAGGGCAAGUCUGGUGCCAGCAGCCGCGGUAAUUCCAGCUCCGGUAGCGUAUAUUAAAGUUGUUGCGGUUAANAAGCUCGUAGUCCGAACUCGGGGUUCGUGGUCGCUCGCGCGGCCCCGGGGCGGCGGCGCCAUCGUCCGUCGUUGACUUUGGUCGUCCGUUCGCAUUCCCGGCCCUUUCCGCCGGUGUCGACUGCCAUGUACAUCCGCCUCGCGGUCCUGCCGGCGAAAAUCUUUGCGCGGAUGACGUCCGGGGGCGUUCGGGGCGGUCAAGGGUGGNNNNNNGGNAAANGGNNGNNGGNAUNNNGGGGNNNNNNNGNNNNUNNNNNUCNNNNNNNNNNNNNUCNNUNNNNNCCCNNNCCNGUCCCUUCUCGUUCCCCCCCUCGUCUCNGUUUUUGUCUCCUCUCGUUGCCGAGUAAUGUUUCGUCGCGCGCGCGUGUUUGCGGUCGGGCGGUUUCUCCUCCAAGGGUGCUCUUAACCGAGUGUCCGCGGCGGCCGGUACGUUCACUUUGAAAAAAUUAGAGUGCUCAGAGCGGGCUGUUCAAGCUUGCAUACGAUAAGCAUGGAAUGAUGGAAGAGGGCCUCGUCUACGUCUGUCGGUCUCCGUCUACGGCGAGGCAAUGAUCGAAGGGAGCGGUCGGGGCCACUCGUAUUGCGACGUUAGAGGUGAAAUUCUUGGAUCGUCGCAAGACGAACUGCAGCGAUGGCGUGUGGCAAGCACGUUUUCCUCGAUCAAGAGCGAAAGUCGGAGGUUCGAAGACGAUCAGAUACCGUCGUAGUUCCGACCGUAAACGAUGCCGACCGGCGAUCCGCCGGCGUUCGCUUCCAUGACCCGGCGGGUAGCCUGCGGGAAACCAGAGUUCGGUNCCGGGGGGAGUAUGGUUGCAAAGCUGAAACUUAAANGNAAUUGACGGAAGGGCNNCANNNNNNNNNNNAGCCUGCGGCUUAAUUUGACUCAACACGGGAAAACUCACNCCGGUCCGGACACCGGUAGGAUUGACAGAUCGAUAGCUCUUUCUCGAUUCGGUGGGUGGUGGUGCAUGGCCGUUCUUAGUUGGUGGAGCGAUCCGUCUGGUUGAUUCCGAUAACGAACGAGACUCCGGCCUGCUAACUAGUGCGCCGAUGUGUGUGCGUUUUUCGCUACGGCGGGCUCGGGCCGUGCGUGUUCGUCGCGCGUUGCCUCGUGCGUGCGUUCGCGUUCGUUUUGUUUCGUCGGUGGCGGCUGUGGGGGGGGAGGAGGUGGCGGUUCUCCGUCGCCUUUUUUUCUUUCCGCAGUCGUCUCGGCGGGGCGGCGGGCGUGGGCGUCGUCGACGGCGCGCGGUCGUGCGUGCGGUUUCCGCCGGGUCCGGGUCGGUUUUCUCACGCACUUCUUAGAGGGACGGGUGGCAGAAAGCCACACGAGGCGGAGCGAUAACAGGUCUGUGAUGCCCUUAGAUGUCCGGGGCCGCACGCGCGCUACACUGGAGGUAUCAGCGGGGACUUCGCCCCGGCCCGAGAGGGCUGGGAAACCUCUCAACCACCUCCCGUGAUAGGGAUCGGGGCCUGUAACCAACCCCGUGAACGAGGAAUUCCCGGUAGGCGCGGGUCAACAGCCCGCGUCGAUCACGUCCCUGCCCUUUGUACACACCGCCCGUCGCUACUACCGAUCGAACGGUCCGGUGAGGUCCUCGGAUCUGGCCGACGACGCCGCCGGGCUGCCUGGUGGCUUCGGCUGCUUGUGUCGCCUCGGCGUUCGACGCCUGGAGAAGACGACCGAACCCGAUCGUUUAGAGGAAGUA
rnacentral:rRNA from 1 species